AAAUUGAAGAGUUUGAUCAUGGCUCAGAUUGAACGCUGGCGGCAGGCCUAACACAUGCAAGUCGAACGGUAACAGGAAACAGCUUGCUGUUUCGCUGACGAGUGGCGGACGGGUGAGUAAUGUCUGGGAAACUGCCUGAUGGAGGGGGAUAACUACUGGAAACGGUAGCUAAUACCGCAUAAUGUCGCAAGACCAAAGAGGGGGACCUUAGGGCCUCUUGCCAUCGGAUGUGCCCAGAUGGGAUUAGCUUGUUGGUGGGGUAACGGCUCACCAAGGCGACGAUCCCUAGCUGGUCUGAGAGGAUGACCAGCCACACUGGAACUGAGACACGGUCCAGACUCCUACGGGAGGCAGCAGUGGGGAAUAUUGCACAAUGGGCGCAAGCCUGAUGCAGCCAUGCCGCGUGUAUGAAGAAGGCCUUCGGGUUGUAAAGUACUUUCAGCGGGGAGGAAGGGAGUAAAGUUAAUACCUUUGCUCAUUGACGUUACCCGCAGAAGAAGCACCGGCUAACUCCGUGCCAGCAGCCGCGGUAAUACGGAGGGUGCAAGCGUUAAUCGGAAUUACUGGGCGUAAAGCGCACGCAGGCGGUUUGUUAAGUCAGAUGUGAAAUCCCCGGGCUCAACCUGGGAACUGCAUCUGAUACUGGCAAGCUUGAGUCUCGUAGAGGGGGGUAGAAUUCCAGGUGUAGCGGUGAAAUGCGUAGAGAUCUGGAGGAAUACCGGUGGCGAAGGCGGCCCCCUGGACGAAGACUGACGCUCAGGUGCGAAAGCGUGGGGAGCAAACAGGAUUAGAUACCCUGGUAGUCCACGCCGUAAACGAUGUCGACUUGGAGGUUGUGCCCUUGAGGCGUGGCUUCCGGAGCUAACGCGUUAAGUCGACCGCCUGGGGAGUACGGCCGCAAGGUUAAAACUCAAAUGAAUUGACGGGGGCCCGCACAAGCGGUGGAGCAUGUGGUUUAAUUCGAUGCAACGCGAAGAACCUUACCUGGUCUUGACAUCCACGGAAGUUUUCAGAGAUGAGAAUGUGCCUUCGGGAACCGUGAGACAGGUGCUGCAUGGCUGUCGUCAGCUCGUGUUGUGAAAUGUUGGGUUAAGUCCCGCAACGAGCGCAACCCUUAUCCUUUGUUGCCAGCGGUCCGGCCGGGAACUCAAAGGAGACUGCCAGUGAUAAACUGGAGGAAGGUGGGGAUGACGUCAAGUCAUCAUGGCCCUUACGACCAGGGCUACACACGUGCUACAAUGGCGCAUACAAAGAGAAGCGACCUCGCGAGAGCAAGCGGACCUCAUAAAGUGCGUCGUAGUCCGGAUUGGAGUCUGCAACUCGACUCCAUGAAGUCGGAAUCGCUAGUAAUCGUGGAUCAGAAUGCCACGGUGAAUACGUUCCCGGGCCUUGUACACACCGCCCGUCACACCAUGGGAGUGGGUUGCAAAAGAAGUAGGUAGCUUAACCUUCGGGAGGGCGCUUACCACUUUGUGAUUCAUGACUGGGGUGAAGUCGUAACAAGGUAACCGUAGGGGAACCUGCGGUUGGAUCACCUCCUUACCUUAAAGAAGC
rnacentral:rRNA from 1 species